GCCAGCAUGAUGUAGUGGUUUGAGUGUUGGACUAAGACUCCAGAAUACCAGGGUUCAAAUCCCCGCUCAGUCA